GUUCUUGAAUCAAACUCAUGUGACAGGAUUUGCAUGCAGCUGUUCAACCAGGUGGGCUACUCUGCCCGAUGAUAAGAGCUGCCCACCCACUCUAUGACUGUGUGCAUCGAUCUGAAGACCUAAAGUUUUUCGAUCACCUGAAAGAGUUGAACUUAUUCCCCCGAAUCAGAUGUUCAACCAAGUGAGCUACUUGAACAGAUACUUCUCAAGAUCUACUCUGACUUUCUGAUUGUAUGCAUUGUUCAUGGGCCUCAAAGUAUGUGCUCAAAAAUUCACCAGCAAAAUAAAAUAUUAACUCCAAAAAAGUCAAAGCAGGUCCCAGAAUUCCUUGAUUGUUUGUGGAUUCGAUGAGAAUAAAUCCAAACGUUAAAAGUUUUAUAACCAAAGUCUUUAAAAACCAAAAACAUCAUAGCUGGUCUCAAGACUGAAAUCUGGAACAAGUCUGACGGUAUAUUUAACGUUAAAAUGCGGUCACAUGGUGCAGUCAGGAUACCUCCAAAUGAUUCAUGCGUACAUGUUCUUCCACAGACCAAUAUGAAUGUUAAAAUCUAUAAAGUUUCACUUUUUGAUUAAGUUGUAAGUAUGUUGAGUAACUUUGUUCUUUAGUAUAUUCUGUUACUUCCCUUUGUGUCGAAACUUUGUGAAGAAAAAGUUUGUCUUGGCAUAAAUCCAAAAUUAUUUUUUCUUUUCUUCACAAGAUGUCGCCAUGCAAAGGAAAGUAAAAGUAUUAUUAUAGGAGUAUUAAAAAAAAUUGUGUUGUCUGCUUUGAAACUUGUUACUAACUUUUUUCUCUGCUUUUUUGCAGAUCUUUGUGCAUAAAAAUUGUACAAAGCAACAGUUCAGUAUAAGAAGUGACUCAUCACUUCGUAUAUUUAACUGUUGUUUUGUACAAUGCAGAGGGGGACUGUAGUUCAUUUUAGUGUUGUUUAGAGAUAAAAGUUUAGUAUAACCCCCUACGUAUCUUUGUCCCGAGGGGCGGGGGGGCUGACGUUCCCCGGCAUUAUCACUCUUCAUCCGCAACCUCUCGGGGCCGCCCCCGACUUCAUGACCUUCAUCUGCACACAGUACCACAUCAUGUUAAUACACACAAUCAUGUUCAUAUACUCACCCUCAGCAAUCUUUUCUGGGGUCCCUCCCGACUGUCAUCUCCAUCCGCAGCUCACUCUCUUUACCGACCGGGAUCUGAUACCACUUUGAAAUAGGACACGACCGCACCUGAGGCCGUGUACGAACCCACCACGCCACCCGACGUACUUGCUUUAGUGAACGUUCCUUGUACAUCAACCUGCACUUUGAAUGUGGACAAUAUUUCGUGAAAACAUUUAAGUUUCACGUCCGCACCAUUAGCCGUCUAGACAGGGAAGUAUAGUGUUCUCUCAGAUGCGUUCCAUUUGCGACUCAUGCAAGACUUGAACUUGUGUGAUCAAACUCAUGUCUGGAUUUGCAUGCAGCAGUUUAACCAGGUGAGCUACUCUGGCUGAUGGGUGGUACUGCCCACCCACUCUAUGAGUGUGUGCAUCGAUCUGAAGACCUAAAGGUUUAGGUCUUAAGAGUAAAGUUCCUCUAACAGAUGCAAGAUUAGAACCCACGUGUAUGUAUCCUCAGUCCAUCGCUUUACCUACUGAGCUCCUCGCCUUGAAGCUUUGGACCAGUUCUUCACAAUUAAGUUCCUGUCGGCUUUCGAGAGGAGGCACUGCUACGUUUUCAUUCAACAUGUAUGUGUUUUGUAGGAUUUAUGUAAAUGAAAACACUGUUACGAAGUUUCUAUUCAACACCUUUUUCAGAAAUAAGUUUAAAUGUAUGUUUUGUUUGAAGCAAAUCACAUUAGUAAGGUGGAACUAAAGGGAAAAAAUAAUUUUGAAUCUCAGUGAGGUAAAUGUCAGAUUUGUAGUUUUGAGAUUGUUGGUUCGAUUCCCAGCUUGUUAAGAGACAUUUGAAGUCUAUGACCUAAAGUAUACAGUCUAUGUUGGAAGGAAAUAGAAGGUGGACUUAAGAUCAAUCAACUUAGACUGUUAAGUGUUGGCUCUGAAACUUUGAAGCGUGUGUUCCAUCAUGAAUAUUGACUGUGUCCUUUGGGUCCUUCACUUCAAAUUUCUCUAAACAAGCAGGGGAUUGAACCAACAACCUGAAGAUUUCACAACAGUGAGAUACCUCGCUGAGCUACUCAGCCAGACAAUUACAGCUGUUUCUGAACUUCUACGUCUACUUCUUCACAAAACUCUCACACUCAAGCAAACUCAACACUUCAAAGAGUUAAGGAAGGUCAGUGGGUUAUGGUCUGUAUAGACUAUCACAGCAGCAAGACCAGAAACAAAAUAGACAUCCAAAUGAUGUGAAGCCCAGACCAAAGCAAGGGCCUCCUUUUCAAUGACUGAAUAAUUCAAUUGAUGUGAAUUAAACUUUUGUGAAAAGAAACUAACAGGUCUAUCAAUGUUGAGUUCAGUGAGCCUCUGUCUUUGUUCACCGCAGUGUUGUUGGCCUUUUUGUUGUUGUUUUCUUCCCCUUGUCCAUGUUAGUGUUCUUUAUAAUAGAAGGCCCAGAUGGAUUGCAGUUCAUUCCAUUGGUUCAAAAAUGAAAGUUUUACAUUUUGAGCAUGUGUUUUGACUCAUUUCUUUUCUUUGAAAUAAACCAAUGUAAUGUACAUGUUGUUGCUGUGAAGUAUUCAGGCUCCUCCUGAGAUUUUGUAAUAUAUAUUGAUCUGAUAUACAAUUGUUUUUAAGGCACUUAUUAUAAACUUAGAAAUAUCUUUGGACAGUGAUUAAUUCUCUAUUUUUAUUGUUUAUUAUUUUGGAAUUUUCUCAAAUUGUUUGGUCUAUAAAUGGUCAGGUGAAAUUAGCCAUCACAAUAUCUCGAAGUCCAAGGUGGGAACAGUUUUAAAUGUCUAACCCCCCCACACACUUUCACGAACAGGUGCAUUCUUUACAUUUGUUCCUCAUAUUUGUAUAAUUUUGCCUUUCUUACGUUUUCUACUGUGUGUAUGGUGUGUGAGUGUUAACCAGUCACUGUGAUCACAUUUAAUCCUCACUUAGCUCCCCCUUGUGGUCAAUGGGAUUUACAGCUGACUUUGAAAUGUGUAACGAAAAAAAAUAUCAAAUUUGAUAAUAUAGCAGAAUAAACUCAAGUAUGUUGCUGGUUGUUUGGACAGUUAAAUAGUUUAUGUUUCAGAAACAGACUUCACCCCUGUGGACUCAUUCUUGGUACAUUGCAAGUAGCCGCCCCCUUUUUUCCUCUAUACCUUCCAUUGGAAUCCUCCACUUCCUGUUUGCCAGUAGUCACUUCCGCAUGGAGCUGGUGAACGCAGAACAAAUAUUUGUGCACAUGAUCUACGGACCUCGUCAACCCUCAUUCGCAGUUCAUCCGUCUUUGCCAGUGAGUCCACUCCAUCCCUCAAAUUCUCCUGUUCAGAUGAUCCGUUAUACACUUGUCCUGCUUUUCAUUUUCCUUUUCAAUAUCUUUACCAUAAUUUGAGCGGAAUGAUACUCAACCUAAAAGGCCUGAACCUUACACAGAUCUUUUAAAAAAAAGAAAAAAAUGUACCUGAGAAAGUAUUGGCUUGUAGUAUGACUUUUUUUUUUUUUAAAUUUGUGCCUUUAAGCAUAUGCAGAUUAGUGUCUGUCCGUGUCUUGUAAUGUACUUUUAGGUGUAUUUUUCUUUUCUUUUUUUUUUUAAUGAGGCCAAGUCAGGUUAUUUGGUAAAUAGAAGUAAAACCACUCUUAUGUGUGUAGCUUGGUGGUACAGUGGUAAAGUUGUUGAUGCCAGUGUGAAAGGUUGACAGUUCAAUUCCUGUUCAAGCCAAGGAUAGCAUUUUCCAAUUUUUUUGUGUUAUUUUUGCUUUUUGGGGGGUUUGUGUUUUUUUAACUGAUCUUUUAAAUUUUUUAAAAUUUUUUAGUUAAAGCAUAUUGAUUUUUUUUGUUUUUAUUGAAUUCACAUAUCUUUUAUUUUAUAAUUUGUUUUAUAUUAGUAUUGUUAUUUUCAAUUUUUUUUUUUUUUACCUCUCACGGCACACUGUCACCGUGCUAACCAGCGAAUCCAAUGUUUCUCCGAGGCUAGUAGGGAGUCUCACAAGUGAAUGUCACUUCACAUUACCACAGACACAUUAUUUCCUCCUUCUGUCCACUGACGGGAACCCCAUGCGGUUGAGGAAAUUCCAUGUCCGUGUUUCCUGUUUGAGUCCGCUCUCAGUUUUGAACCUUGGGUCUCUCACACCAGAGCCUCGCGUCUUACCGCUCGACCACCAUCUUUCACAUAGAACUUGGUCUAGUUUGUUUUCAUGAACAUCGGACAUUCAAGAGGACAAAUUGUAAAAUUGCAAAAGGUAGGAGUCGAACUAUCAACCUUAAUAUCGCCAUACCUGUAUCAUUGCCUUUACACCACGGAAUGGAUACAUUUAACUUUGUUUUUUCUCAUCCAUGAAACAGCAGCAGACAUUUAAAAGGACAACUUGCAAAAGGUGGACAUCGAGCCAUGGGCCUUAAUAUGUUCAUACCUGUAUCAUUGCCUCUACACCACGGAAUGAGAACACAAAUGCAAAGGAUUUACCUGAGAUUUGUAUGAUUUGUUUUGUGUGAAUGAUUUCAUAAAACUGUCACUGGUUGUAUUUGAUCGGUCAACCUUUCGCAUAAGAGCCUAAAAUCUUACCACUUCACCACCGUCUUUCUGGGAAAACUUUGGUCCAGUUCUUCACAUUUAACUUGCUGUCGGCUUUCGAGAGGAAGAACUGCUAAAGUUUUCAGUCAACUUGUUUGUGUUUUGUAGGAUUUAUGUAAAUGAAAACACUGCCACAAAGUUUCUGUUCAACAUCUUUUCUCAGAAAUAAGUUUAAAUGUAUGUUUUGUUUCAACCAAAUCACAAAGAUGGUGGGUUUUGAUCUGUCAACCUUUCGCAUGUGAGCCUAAAAUUUUACCACUUCACCAGCAUCUUACUCAGACUCUAUGCCUCAGUUUUUUCAGAUUUAAUUUGCUGUUGGCUUUCAAGAGGACGAACUGCUAAAGUUUUCAGUCAACUUGUUUGUGUUUUGUUGGAUUUAUGUAAAUGAAAACAAUGUUACAAAGUUCAUGUUCAACAUCUUCACUCAGAAAUAAGUAUAAAUGUAUGUUUGGUUUGAAUCCCAAAGGGAGAUUGGACUUGACCUGACAACCAUUGACACAAGAGUCUUAAAAUCUUUCCACUGCACCACCGUCCGACUCAACAAUCACAAGCCCAAUUUUUUCACAUUUAAUUUGCUGUCGGCUUUCGAGAGGACAAAUUGCUAAAGUUUUAAGUCAACUUGUUUCAUAGGAGAAUAGGGGUUCUUAAAUUCUCCUGUUCAGAUGAUCUGUUAUACACUUGUCCUGCUUUUCAUUUUUUUCUUUUCAAUAUCUUUCCCAUAAUUUGAGCGGAAUGAUACUCAACCUAAAAGCCCUGAACCUUACACAGAUCUUUUUAAAAAAAAGAAAGAAAUGUACCUGAGAAAGUAAUGGCUUGUAGUAUGACACAUAUAUUUUUAAUUUGUGCUUUUAAGCAUAUGCAGAUUAGUGUCUGUCCAAGUCUUGUAAUGUACUUUUAGGUAUAUUUUUCUAUAUAUAAUUUAUAUACUAUUUAAUCGGGACACAUUUGUUGAAUAGAAGUGAAACCAAUUUAUACAUGUGUAGCCUGGUGACGCAGUGGAAAAGGCAGUCAGAUCAAUCCCUGUUCAAGACAAGUCAUUGCAAUGCUAUAGGAUAGGGUUUUCCAAUAACCAGCUUUUUGGCAGGGGUUUGAGUUUUCUUUACUUUUUUCUAUACCCUUCAUCUAAUGUCGCACUGCCACGCUAGCCAGUGUAUCCAACGUUUCUCGGAGUCUUGUGGGGAAUCUCACAAGUGAAUAUCUCUUCACAAUCACCACACAGAUUUUUUCCUGCUUUUCUCGAUCCAUUGACUGGAAUGCCGUGAACUUCAGGGAUCUCAUUCGUUCAUGUUUGAAUCUCUCUCAGUUUUGAACCCUGGGUCUCUUGCACCAGAGCCUCACGUCUCACCGCUCGACCACCAUCUUUCACACUGAACCUGGUCCUGUUUGUUCUCAUCAUCACGGACAUACAAGAGGGCAAAUUGUAAAAUUGUUAAAGGUAGGAAUUGAACCAUGGACCUUAAUAUGUAUAUAUCUGUAACGUUGCCUCUACGCCACAGAAUGGAAACAUUUGAUUUUGUUUUUUCUCAUAAAUGAAGCAGCAGCAGACAUUUAAGAGGACAAAUUGUAAAAAUGUUGAAGGUGGGAAUCGAACCAUGGACCUUAAUAUGUCCAUACCUGUAUGUUUUUGCCUUUGCGCCACUGAACUAGUACACAUAUGUGAAUUACUUACCUAAGAUCUGUAUCUUUUGUUUUGUUGAAUGAUUUCACAAAAACAUCACAAAUGGGACUUGAUCCAUCAA